AGAGUUUGAUCCUGGCUCAGGACGAACGCUGGCGGCGCGCUUAACACAUGCAAGUCGAACGGGGACAUAGCAAUAUGGCCCAGUGGCAAACGGGUGAGUAACACGCAGACAACCAACCUCCGGGAUGGGGACAACAUUGCGAAAGCAGUGCUAAUACCGAAUGGACUUAUCGGGGCGCAUGUCUUGGUAAGGAAAGGCCUUUGGGUCGCCUGGAGACGGGUCUGCGGCUGAUUAGCCGGUUGGCGGGGUAACGGCCCACCAAAGCAACGAUCAGUAGCCGGUCUGAGAGGAUGAACGGCCACAUUGGGACUGAGACACGGCCCAGACUCCUACGGGAGGCAGCAGUGGGGGAUCUUCCGCAAUGGGCGAGAGCCUGACGGAGCAACGCCGCGUGAGUGAAGAAGGCCUUCGGGUCGUAAAGCUCUGUUGCAGGGGAAUAUAAUGAAGGUACUCUGCGAGGAAGCCACGACCAACUACGUGCCAGCAGUCGCGGUAAUACGUAGGUGGCGAGCGUUGUCCGGAAUUGAUUGGGCGUAAAGGGAGCGUAGGCGGGCUUGCAAGUCUCACUUAAAAGUGCGGGGCUCAGCCGCGUAAGGGGUGGGAAAACUGCAGGUCUUGAGAGCAGGAGAGGUAAGCGGAGUUCCCCGUGUAGCGGUGAAAUGCGUAGAUAUCGGGAAGAAACACCGGUGGCGAAGGCGGCUUACUGGACUGCCCACUGACGCUGAGGCUCGAAAAGCCGGGGGAGCGAACGGGAUUAGAUACCCUGGUAGUCCACGCUGUAAACGAUGAAUACUAGGUGUGGGAGGACUGACCCCUUCCGUGCCGCAGUUAACACAAUAAGUAUUCCACCCUGGGGAGUACGACCGCAAGGUUGAAACUCAAAGGAAUUGACGGGGGCCCGCACAAGCAGUGGAUUAUGUGGUUUAAUCCGAAGCAACGCGAAGAACCUUACCAGGGCUUGACAUCCAACUAACGAAGUAGAGAUACAUUAGGUGCCCUUCGGGGAAAGUUGAGACAGGUGGUGCAUGGUUGUCGUCAGCUCGUGUCGUGAGAUGUUGGGUUAAGUCCCGCAACGAGCGCAACCCCUAUUGUUAGUUGCUACGCAAGAGCACUCUAGCGAGACUGCCGUUGACAAAACGGAGGAAGGUGGGGACGACGUCAAAUCAUCAUGCCCCUUAUGUCCUGGGCUACACACGUAAUACAAUGGCGCAAAACAAAGGGAAGCAAAACCGCGAGGUGGAGCAAAUCCCCAAAAGGCGUCUCAGUUCGGAUUGCAGGCUGCAACUCGCCUGUAUGAAGUCGGAAUUGCUAGUAAUCGCGGAUCAGCAUGCCGCGGUGAAUACGUUCCCGGGCCUUGCACUCACCGCCCGUCA
rnacentral:rRNA from 1 species